rnacentral:piRNA from 1 species
GUCGGAAGGUUGUGCAGAUUCAUUUAA